CUGCCGCCUCAUCUUCCCCUUUUGGCCCUCCCCCCAAUCUCUCGACUCUCAUCUCUCUCGGCUGAUCGACGACCGGCGACCGGCGCAACGGCGAGUCGUCCUUCCGGCGAGCCUAACAGCAGCAGCAGUGCAGCAAGGAGCCGCCGCCUCCUCUUCCCCCUCCGGCCCUCCCCCAAUCUCUCGACUCUCAUCUCUCUCGGCUGAUCGACGACCGGCGAUCGGCGCAACGGCGAGUCGUCCUUCCGGCGAGCCUAACAGCAGCAGCAGUGCAGCAAGGAGCUGCCGCCUUUGGCUCUCUUUUUCCCAGCCCGGCCAGCGCGCGACAACAGUUGGAGGAACCACCGGCGGCGCUUGUGUAUAUCAUUUCCAGUGAGUUUAAAUGUUUAAUGCUUAAUUUUCGUUAGGAACCACCAGAAUUAUUGUCGAGCCCAAUUUCUUGUCGGCCCCUCCUGCUCAAUUUCUUGGUGCAAUAGCCAACAUUAUUAUCAACUUGAAUGAUGCUUCCUAAAUCCUAAGUUUGUUUCUGUGUUUUUUUUCCUUCUUAUCUUAGGGAUAGAAUAUGGUGUGACCUUGAGCUACUUGUGUAUUGUUUAUCAACUGCUGUUUGCUGGUUUUUAGUAAAUCUAUGGUUGAAAAAUUUAAACAAAAGAUUACUCUGCAUAUGAGCUCAAGUAGAAGUUUUCCAAAUCAAUUACUACUAUUGUUUCUAUCAAAAUCUCACUAGAAGUAUAUACGAGCUUAGCUCUAGCCUCUAGAACAGGAGCACUUACAUUGCUGCUGUCUGCUGAACUUUAUUGCUACUGUUCAGAUUUUAUUUUUGAUUGGUUAUGUGAUGUUUUUAACUUCAGUUGAUAAUGACAUCCUCCCCUCCUGAAGUCUCCUCAACAAUGCCCAAUGUAGUAAUAUCUCAAAACUCCAUUGACGAUCAACAUUCAACGGAUGAUCAUAUUGUUACAAAUACAUCAUCAAAUGCCAAUGAUAUCACUGACAUUCAAGGUAGAAGUGGAGAUGGUGAAACAGGUGGUAGUGGAGAUGGUGAAACAGGUGGAAUCAGAAGCUACUUUUAGCGCAGGGGGUCGAGUUAUUGAUACAUAUCGAGCCUCAUUGAAUGCCGAUACAGUGCAAACAUUGAUUUGUGGAGGAGAUUGGUGUCGUAGUCUUCAUGGUGUGAAGAGAAAGAACAAAGUGAGUUAUGUUCUUAAUAUUUUAUGAUUUCUUAAAUUUAUUUUAACUUAAAUUGAUUAUCUUAUUUUAUACUACAGAGUGAGAAGAAACCUUUGGAGAUUAUGCUUCCCAUUUCUUGAAAGUAAGAUAGAUUAUUCAAUUAUGUUUGCAAUGGUAUUUAUUUAUCUUGGGCCGCUUUUCUGCAUCUGUGCUUUUAUGUGAUUAAUUGAGAUAGUGGAGCGCUGCACCUAUAUAUGGAUUCUUUUUGUCUUGUUUAUGAUCUUAAAUGGUCAUAUUCUUAUUGCUGGAGAAUUUAUCUUGUAAAUUAUUGUCUGAUUCUUCAUCUAAUUGUUGUGAUAGGGGGCAACAUGGGAUCCAAAUGGCUGUAUGGUACUUCUUUCUUUUUCGGAGUCAUCACCAUUAUGUUCCAUUCACUUUACAUCCAAACCUCCGUCGCUAGGUAUGUAACAUAUCCUGCUUUUGAUCUAUUUUGUUAAUGUUUGUUCUAUUAUUCUGCUUGAAUGAAAUUCACGGAUAUGUGGCUUUCAGUUAGAUAUCAGCACCAGAUAAUGGGUGUUCUGUUCCCCCAUUUCCUUUUUUGUCGAAAGGUUUAUUGGUUCUGUGCAUUGAUUGUAAUAUUAAAAUAAUGAGCAUUUAACAAAUGUUUGCAGAUAAGUUGUCUCAUACAUAUCUGUGAUUAUGUGAUGUUACCAUCUCUAAGAUAGAUUCUACUAAGCCCAACCAUUUGUCUAUUACACCAAUUUCGCAUUUGCAUACUUGUUAGGAAAUUGACAUUAUGUUUAUAUAUGUUGGCAAUACCAAUCAAAUCACCUGUUCAAGAGACGGUUACAAAAUACUUGACUCAUGCUUCGUCUGCUUCUUACUGCAUUUUUAUGAAUCUAUUUAUUUUGCUAUGAAUUUUCUUUAUAUUUAUUUUUCUUGUAUGCAACCUUUACAUGGUUGGUGUUCGUAUUGGAGAGACGACUUGAUGUUGGAGGCUUGGAGCAUUAUCUAUAAGAAGAAGUUGCAAAUUUGCUUUUAUUAUGUUGUAUUUGAUUCAAGACUUGUUAGUUUUUGAAUUUUUGAUGCCUUUAGACUAUUUGAAUGUGCAUUUUCGAGUCUAAUCGAUGUUUUGGAUAUCUAAGACUUGUUAUAAUUGAUUUGUAGAAGUACUUCUCGUAAUGAAAUGCUUUGUAAUUUUAUUCAAUUUGUUGAAGCAUGUAUCAGACGAGCUUAAACGAGCUCGAGCUCACCGAGUUUGAACGAGCUCGAGCUCAACGAGCUUAAACGAGCUCGAGCUCAAACUCGAGUAAGGCUCCACAAUCGAGCUUAAUCGAGUCGAGCUCGAGCUCACGAGUAUGGCAUCGAGUCGAGCUCGAGCUCAAGAAAAUCAAGCUCGGCCGAGUCGAGCUCGAGCU
rnacentral:lncRNA from 1 species